rnacentral:lncRNA from 1 species
AUUUGAUAUUCUGGAUGGGAUCUUGGAAAAUGAAAAGUCUACUCAUGAGAAAAACAUGAGACAAAUCCCGAUUCAGAGACAUUCUACAAAAAUACCCGACCAGUACUCCUCAAAACCAUCGAGGUCAUCAGAAACAAGGAAUGCCUGAGAAACUGGCACAGCCAAGAAGAACGCGGGGUCUUAAGGAAUCUCCAUCAAGCCUUCUUUGAUGAUUACCAAGUUAUUUGUUUCUGGAUUCCAAUAGAGGAAAAGAAAAAAAUUACCACAACCCAACCUUCCCCUCCUUAAUUCAGUUGACUGAAUAUUUUCCAACUUAACUGUGAAUUUUUUAAAAAGGGA